AGUGAACGCUGGCGGUAGGCCUAACACAUGCAAGUCGAGCGGAUGAAGGGAGCUUGCUCCUGGAUUCAGCGGCGGACGGGUGAGUAAUGCCUAGGAAUCUGCCUGGUAGUGGGGGAUAGCGUCCGGAAACGGGCGCUAAUACCGCAUACGUCCUGAGGGAGAAAGUGGGGGAUCUUCGGACCUCACGCUAUCAGAUGAGCCUAGGUCGGAUUAGCUAGUUGGUGGGGUAAAGGCCUACCAAGGCGACGAUCCGUAACUGGUCUGAGAGGAUGAUCAGCCACACUGGAACUGAGACACGGUCCAGACUCCUACGGGAGGCAGCAGUGGGGAAUAUUGGACAAUGGGCGCAAGCCUGAUCCAGCCAUACCGCGUGGGUGAAGAAGGCCUUCGGGUUGUAAAGCCCUUUUGUUGGGAAAGAAAAGCAGCAGGUUAAUACCCCGCUGUUCUGACGGUACCCAAAGAAUAAGCACCGGCUAACUUCGUG
rnacentral:rRNA from 1 species